rnacentral:lncRNA from 1 species
UUCUGUGCUUCUUCGACAGUAUAUCCUACAUAAAUUUCACAUAGUUUGGCAUUUGCUCCAAAGCUUCUACUAGCGAUAUAUUAAUAUGUAGUUGCUUCAAGACCUCCAAAAACCUUUUGAACUAAACAUCUUGUUUAGAAUUAUGUAAUUUCUGAGGAAAAGAUAGAGGUGGUCGUCCUUCAAGUUUCUGAUAUUGUUUUCCUAUAGCGUUUUUAUUGGCAGCCUGAUCUAGUUCUGCCACAGCAUUCUUCUGCUUACCCUUUUCAAGUGUAAUAUGUUUUUCAGAUGGCUUUGGGAUCUUUACAUGGUUGUUAUUUGAGUUAUCCUCUCCUACUGUGGCAUCUUGAACAACAUCAUUUAACUGAGCUCCACUUCUGAGAGUGAUCACUUUGCACUGUUCUUUCCCUUAUGUUAUCCAAUUCUAGGUAUCGUUGGCAAUGCUCCUUGUGGCCUCAAAUUUAAAGCAUUUGUUAUUUGCCCACUUGAUUCUCAAGAGCUCGUAGGGACAUAGCUUGACUAAGGUAUCUUUCUUGGCCAUAAAUUAUUUCAACAAGUCUUCAAUAGAUGGUGAUGAUAAUGACUGGCCUUGUUGUACAUUUUGCCUCGGCAUAGGAUGAUUAUAACUAGGCGAUGCACUAUCGGCAUUCUUCUUGUAGCAUUGUUAAAAUUCCCCUCACCUUGAUUAUUCCAACUAAAGUUUAGAUGUUGUCCCCACCCUAGAUUAUAGGUGUUGGAAUAGGGAUUAUUAUUCCAAUUGAAAUUACCUAUGUAGCACACGAAUGUUGGGUUUGAUAGGCAUUCAUCCAACACGUGGUCAUCACCACAAUAAACACAUGCUAGCCUAAUAGCUUUCACCUCCUGAACUGUAGUUGGUAUCUCCAUCAUCUUGAUCAUAUUAGUUAAAGAUGAAACAUGGGUAGUCAAUGAAGUGAUUGUAUUAAGUUCCAUGGUACCAGCAGCUUUCUUACCCGUUAAAACUCUCGUGGUAGUAUAUUGAUAAUUAUUGCUGGCAAUCUUUUCCAAAAUCUCAUAUGCUUCAUUAUAAGAUUUAUCCAACAAAAUACCAUUGGUGAAGGCAUCAACUACCAUCCUCGUAUGCGCAUUCAUUCCAUUAUAAAAUAACUUCAUCUGUGUCUAGUGCUGAAAUCCAUGCAUCGGGCACUUCUGAAUGAAGUCUUUAAAUCGCUCCCAAGCUUCAUAUAGCGUUUCAUCAUCCAAUUGCUGAAAAGAUGUGAUGUCAUUUCUAAGCUUGGCAUUCAUAUUUGGAGGAUUAUAUCGUAGAAAAAAACUCUAGCAAAGAUCAUUUCAUGAUGCUACUAUUCAGUACGGCAGAGCAUUCAGCCAUGCUCUCACACGAUCUCUUAAAGAAUAUGGAAACAGUUUAAGUCGCAAAGUGUCUUUAGGCACACCCUACUGUCUCUAUGAGUCAUAAACCUCUAAAAAAAGUCUUAAAUGAAGUAUUGGAUCUUUAUUAGGUAAUCCACUUAACUGUCCUACUAUUUACAACAUCUAAAAUAUUACCAGUUUCAGCUCAAACUACUGAACUUGUAUUUGUGGUCUGACUAUCUCUGGAUUCAAAUCAUCCAAAAUUAGCACAACAUGCUCUCAGAUUGGUCUAUCUCGGUCAUCUAUCAUUCUACGAACAUGAAGAUUAGCAUCCUGACCAUUCAAAUUAUCAUUGAGACUAGGAUCAUUUUCGUUUCUAGCAUCAUAGUUCUUUUCACCUUCUUCAUAAAGUUAUUUCGAUCUUUAGGUUAAAAGGAUACUCUUUGUUAGUAGGAAUAUCUUUUCUCAUGUACUGAUGGAAAACUUAUAGAAAAAUAUAACUAAGUUAAAUAAAACUAAUGGAGCUAAGUGAAAUAACAAAACCAAUUUUUAAGAAAUUGUCAAUCCCUGGCAACGGUGCCAAAAAAUUGUCGCGCGUGAAUAUGAUAUGUGAAUCGUGCAAGUAUACACGUUGGAUCAAGUAAUAAAGUGAUAAGUGAGUAUCACUCCCAUGAGGUUCCAAUUGAGGCACAAAAGUGGUCAAGUUAUUAUAAUAGAGUGUUAUUAAUGUUAUGGCAAAAACAACGAUAAGUAUAAAGGAGUAGUGAUGUAUGUAAUAUGUGGAAUUUAAUGAAUACUUGGAAAUGUUAUGGCAAAACAAAAGUAGAAAUGUAAUGGAAAUUAUGAGAGUUACUACGGGAAUAUUAUGUAAAUGAACAAAUAAAUAACUAAUAAUGAUGUGACAAAGAUACUAUGGCAAAGAACAAAGGAUAUACGAUGUUGAUUUGGAAUGUUGGAAUUAUUAAGAAUCUACCCUUACUGUCAGAGAUGCCUCGAAAAAAUCAUAAUUAAUUUACUACUUAGAAGAGUUCUAAAGUGGUCUGCUUCUUUCGAGAGCAAAAGUCUCAAGUUACCUUACCCAUGACAAUAGGCCUUUAAUACGGUACCCUGCACUAUUUCUUUUUGUAUGAAUGCUGCUCUAUGUCUAAAGUCUACUACAAGCAUCUAUUGAAUACUUGCUCAUAUCAUUCAAUUUCGGUCCAACUAAUCCAACCUUUUCAAAAUUAAAUUAGUUUAUGUGCAUGCUACACAAUCUCUAUGUCUAGGAAUUGCACGCUUAUAAUUUAGAAAAAAAUAAUUAAAUGAAACAGUAAAUUAAUUCAACUCUAUGCUUCAACCAUUAAAGAAAAUAAAGGUUUCAUCAUGUAAUCUCAACCCUAUGAGAUUUAGCUCAUGGGUUGGCACAUAAAAUUUAAAACCAAAAUAACAUCCAACACCAUUUUCAUCAUUCCAUUCAAGGAAGAACAAAGUAAGAAAUGUAGAAGACUUUGAGAAUACAACUUUUUCAUGUCAUGUUCACACUCCAACAACAUAGUGUUCCAGCGAUGGCUAAGAGGGACUACUUUUGUCUUCCUCUUUUUGUCUCUACUCAGCCGCUACCCUCUAUUUUUGCCUAAGGAGCUGUUGCUUUUUGUUCAUCAUUUAGGGUUUCCUCCUUUGGCUUUUUAUAGCUUUUUCCCUUGGGUAAAUCCAACAAAUCAUGUUUAUCUUCUCCUCUUUUUAAAAUUUUUUUUCUAGAAUAAAAAUCAAAAUCCCAGGAUUAUCUUCUCCUCUUUUAGGUACAUUUUUUUGGUAAAAAUGCAGUUGGGCUAAAAUUGGUAUGCAUUGAGUGUUGACUCGAUCAUCCUAGAAUUGCCACAGCAUUCGUGCUAACCAAAUGUCCAACCUUUUGCCCUGGUAAACCUUUACUCCUUUAUUUCUCAUUCCUCAACCUGCACCUGCCAAAGCACCAAACACAACCCUACCAUAAGCAAUUAAAAGUAUCUAUUAUUGAUUUUUUUUGGUAAGUGGUAAUAGGACUUGUAACUAAUAUAGUUUUGGAAAAAAAUAUGAUUUUUUUUAGAAUCUUUAAGGCAUAUUUUCGAUUGGUAAAUGAGGAGUUUUGAAUCAUAAAAUUAUGAUUUUAUGUUCUACCCCAUGAGACCUUUACAACGAGAUAUCAUAUGCUCAAAAUGGUUGAGUGAUGAAUGAGAAAUUGAUGCUCAAAGUAAGCUACUUGGAAAUUAUGUUGAGAAAAAUGAAAAAGCAUUAAUCCCACAUUUAUUAGGAAUCAAGUGUGGAACUUGAUAUAUAUGUAAACCAACUUGGUGGUUAUUAAAUGAGUAAACUAAUGCUCUCCCUCGUGUGCAGGGGGUGCAAAUCUAAAUCCACUGAGGUUGGGGGCACACCCGCACGACAUGGGCGUUUCCAAGAUUUUACUCAGUUUGAUUUAAAGGCUUCUUUAAUGCAUAUUUGUAUCUUUACUCAUGGAAAUUUCUAAAAUUCCUCCACAUUGAAUGCUUAUAAAAUCCUAAAUUCUUUAAAGACACACAACGAAUUUAUUUCACUCUCGAAAAUUCUAUUUCUUUUCUCUCCAAAAUUUUCAAACGUCCGGUGAUAGAAGAAGGCAAGGUUUGUUCGUUGAUCACUGCAGAUGUACUACUGCCGCAAUCAUUUUGUUAUUGUAUCCUGGGAGACAGAUGAUCAACAUUUCUCUAAGUACCAUAGGAGCAGCUGAAUCUGUCUUAAGGAAACUGUGAAAACAGACCUCAGCAUCUAGUAAAACUCGAUUUCCUUAUUCAAUUUCUGGUUUUUCAAAAUCUUGUUUAUAUAAUUAUUUUUUAGAUUUGAUGUUUUAAAUAAAUAUAAAUAUUUAUUUAUUUAUUUUGUUUAGAUCUGGUGUUUUUACACAAAUAUAGAUAUUUGGUUAUAUUAUUUGUUCAAGAUAUUAUAUUUAAUAUAAAUAUUUACAUUUAUAUUUGUUCGCUAACGUGUUUUGUCCAACAAUCUUAAGACAGAUUUUUAUUAUUUUAAAAUUCUCUAAUCCGAGUAGAACGAGACACGAAGGCAAAAAAAACAUAUUCUGUCUAAGAAAAAAUUAAAUUGAAUAAAAUCUAUUUCGGGAUUUAUUAUUGUCGUUCAAUAGACUUUAUUCCUUUUUUAUUUUGUUUCCAAACAAGAAUUAAUUGAAUAAUUCUAUUUCAGAAUUUAUUCUCACAGCUCAACAGAUUUUAUUCUAUUUUUAUUUUGUUUCCAAACAAUAAUUAAAUAAAUAAUUCUAUUUCUAGAUUUAUUCCCGCCAUUUAACAGAUUUUAUUUGAUUUUGAUUUUGUUUCCAAACAAGAUUUAAUUAAAUAAUUUUGUUUCAGGAUUUAAUCCUGUCGGCCAACAAAAUUGAUUUUAAUUUUAUUUCAGAAUUUUAACUCUUCCAUUUAACAAAAUCAAAGGGUAAUAUAAAUUUUAAAUUAAAUUUUUUAUUUAUUGUGGCUUUAAUUGUGGCUUUAAAUUGUGAAAGCUUAAAUUGUAGCUUCAAACUUGUGACAUCAAAGAAAAAAAAAAUUUAUCAACGGUGAAUUAAAAAAGACAAUAUGAGAGUGCAUGUCUAGGAUUGGUUCUUUGAAAGACUUGGUAUUUAAGUGUGCCAAGUGCACCACCUCUCUUUCAGGGUUACCUACCUGGCACAUUUUUUUUGUCUUUCGAUUAGACCGUGUAAACUUUUGUUUCAAGUUUUAUUAAAUUCCUAUCGUCUAGCAAAAGUUGAUAAUUUUUUUCUAAUUUUGGUUUUGUUUCUGAAAUCUUAACAGAAAAUGGAAACUCCCACCAAUGCUAUGGAAGAUAUGGACUUAUGUGCUGUGAUUUUUGAAGUCAACAUGGUUGACUCACAUCCAAGAGAAUAGUGGCUUGAUACUGGUGCCACACGUCAUAUUUGUUUGACAAAGACUUCUUUUCUGAGUUGGAGCCUUGUGAAGAUAGGGAGAAGCUCUAUAUGGGCAAUGCUAUGACUUCCAAGAUCAAGGAGAAUGGUACUAUAGUCUUGAAGAUGACUUCUGGCAGAGAACUCAAGCUUCAAAAUGUGUUGUAUGUGUUUGACAUACGCAAGAACCUUAUUUCUGAGACACUCCUUAGUGUACACGGUUUUAAGACGGUGUUUGAAUCCCAGAAGCUAGUUUUGUCUAAAGGGUGAAUGUUUGUGGGAAGGGGAUAUGUAUUAAAUGGCAUAUGGAAACUUAAAGCAAUCUCUGUAAAAUUAAAAACUAUGAAUAAGAGUGUUGUUUCUUCUUCUGUUUAUAUGCUUGAGUCAUUUAAUUUAUGGCAUGGUAGGCUCAGACAUGUUGGUUAUGAUACUUUACAUAGAUUAAUUAAUUUAGAGCUCAUUCCUUCAUUUCACAUUAGUUAUAAACAUAAAUGUGAAACUUUUGUUGACGAAAAAUUAACAAUGCCUUCAUUUGAAACUAUUGAAAGAAAUAUAGAACCACUCGAUCUAAUACAUAGCAAUGUUUGUGACUUAAUGUUUGUUCAAACCAGAGGAAGGAAUAAAUAUUUUAUUACCUUCAUUAAUGAUAGCACAAAAUAUUGUUAUGUAUAUUUGCUUCAGAGCAAAAACGAAGUUUAGAGAAAUUUAUUCUCUAUAAACAGGAAGUUGAAACCUAACUUAAUAAAAAGACUAUGAUGGUAAGAAGUGAUUAUGGUGGUGAAUAUGUUGAACCAUUUAGUGAAUACUGUGCACAACAUGGUAUUAUUCAUGAAGUGACACCACCAUACACUUCUCAAUCAAAUGGAAUAGCCGAGCGAAAAAAUCAGACUCUAAAGGAAAUGAUGAACGCAUUACUAGAAAGCUCUGGGUUAUCACAGAACAUGUGGGGGGAAGCUAUUCUAUGAGCUAAUUACCUUUUAAAUAAGGUUCCCUACAAGAAAAGGGACAAGACACCAUAUGAGUUAUGGAAAGGUAGAAAACCUUCCUACAACUACUUGAAACUGUGGGGGUGUCUUGCAAAGGUAAUGGCUCCAUUACCAAAGUAAAUGAAAAUAGGUCUUAAAACGGUGGAUGUAUUUUCAUAGGCUAUGCAGAUCAUAGAAAUACAUAUAGGUUUCUUGUGUAUGAAUCAAAGAAUCCUGACAUUCACAAGAAUAUUAUAUUGGAAUCAAUGAAUUCUUCAUUCUUUGAAAAUAUCUUCCCUUGUAAAGCUAGGGAAGUUGAUUCAAGUUCAACAAAAUGAACUUCAGAGACUAUAGAUGAAAAUAGUCAAGACGAGGUUAAAACUGUGAUAGAGCCAAGAGUAAACAAGUAACAGUGAAAAAAUCUUUUGGGUCAGAUUUUCUAACCUUUAUGCUAGAUGCUAAACCUCAAACAUGUGAUGAUGCUAUACGGUCAUCCGAAAGCACUUCAUGGAAAGAUGCUAUUAAAAGUGAAAUUGACUCCAUCAUGUAAAAUCAUACAUGAGAAUUAGUGGAUCUUGCUCUAGGAAUUAAACCAUUAAAUUCUAAGUGGAUUUUUAAAUGAAAAAUGAAAGCAGAUGAAACAAUAAACAAGUACAAGGUCAGAUUGGUUAUAAAAGUUUAUAGAUAAAAAGGAAGGCCUACUUUGAUACUUUUUCUCCAAUAUCCAGGAUAACUUCUAUAAGGAUGAUACUUGCAAUUGUCGCCUUAUAGAAUCUAGAAGUACAUCAAAUGGAUGUUAAAACAACUUUCCUAAAUUGAGAUCUUGAUGAAGAAAUUUACAUAGAACAACCUGAGGGUCAUGUAAUUCUAAGACAAGAAAGGAAAGUUUGUAAAUUGGUGAAGUCUUUAUAUGGACUUAAGCAAGCACUAAAACAAUGGCAUUAAAACUGUUCGACAAUGCCAUGAUGACAAAUGGCUUUAAGAUUAAUGAAUGUGAAAAUUGUGUGUAUGUCAAAACUACCGAUAUUGGAUAUAUAAUCCUAUGCUUAUAUAUUGAUGACAUAGUCAUUGUUGGAAGUAACAAUGAAAUGGUAAAACGUGCCACAGACAUGUUAAAUUCAACGUUUGACAUGAAAGAUAUGGGACUAGAAAAUGUGGUUUUGGCAUCCAAAUUAAGAGGUCAUAUGAAGGUCUGAUAUUGACUUAGCCACACUAUGUGGACAAGAUUCUUGGGAAAUUUAGCAAGGAUGAUUUCGGUAUAGCCAAAACUCCAAUAGCUACAAGCCAACAUUUGUCCAAAAAUAAAGGUGAAAGUGUUGACCAAGUGGAAUAUGCAGGGGUCAUAGGUAGUCUAAUGUACCUUAUGAGUUGUACUAGACUAGAUAUUGCUAUCACUGUGAGCAGUUUAAGCAUAUUCACAAGCAAUCCAGGGGAAAACCAAUGGAAAGUAAUUGUGAGGAUACUGAGAUAUCUUAGAUAUACUCAGGACUAUGGAUUGCAUUAUUCCAAAGAUCCUAUUGUUUUAGAAGGAUUCUCCUGUGCCAGUUGGAUAUCUGAUAUUCAAGAUACCAAAGGCACAAGUGGAUAUGUUUUUACAUUAGGAGGAGGAGCUAUGUCAUGGAAAUCCCCAAGACAAACGAUUAUAACCAGAUCCAUAAUAGAAUCUGAGUUUGUAGCUCUAGACAAAUCUGGAGAAGAGGCUAAAUGGCUUCGAAACUUCUUGGAAGAUAUUCCUGACUGGCCAAAGCCUGUGCCCACAAUAUGUAUAUAUUGUGACAAUCAAGCAACAAUUGGUAGAGCACAAAAUGUAAUAUAUAAUGGUAAGUCAAGACAUAUGCUUCGUUGACACAAUACUUGUAGACAACUGAUCUCAAAUGGGGUUAUCUCUAUUGAUUUUGUAAAAUCAAAAGAUAACAUUGUGGAUCCGCUAACUAAAUGCUUAAAUCGAGAUCAGGUUAAUAAAACAUCGAAAGGAAUAGGACUAAAGGCCAUGGAAAUUAAAGGCGCUAUGUAAAGGAAAACCCAACCUAGUUGAUUGGAGAUCCCAAGAUCUAGGUUCAAAGGGACAACCUAAUUGCAUAGGCCUUGUGAGGUCACUAUAGGGGUUCUUAUUCCAAGUCCAUUCCUAUGAAAUAAACAGUGAUUUAAAGUGAGAUAGGUUAAGUAAAGCUUUUAAUGACCAUUGUGUGUUUCGGAGAGCCAAGCAACAUAAGUCACCUAUGUUAGAGUGAAGUGGGGCUGCUUCGAGGAGACUAUUGUGCAUAGGUCUCUCAAAAUCUUGCAGAACCAGGAAAUGUUCAUGGUCAUAUAAACAUACCUAUGAGAACGAAGACCUUGCUAGGGAGGUAGUUGUGUAAGGAAUAUCAUUGUUUACACAAACGAUAGAACAGUUCAAGGAUAUUACGUCAACUAGUCAGCUAGUAAAAUAAAUAUACUUUCACAAGGGAAGGUUCAAGGGUUGAUGUUUGCCUAUCAUAUACAACUAUCAAUCGUAGAAUCUAUCACCACAUCCAGCCAAUGUUUUUCAUUAAACCUAUCAAUUUCAUUCAUGUGGGGUAUUGUUGGAAAAAUAUGAUUUUUUGGAAUCUUUGAGGCAUAUUUUCGAUUGGUAAAUGAGGAGUUUUGAAUCAUAAAAUUAUGAUUUUAUGCUCUACCUCAUGAGACCUUUACAACGGGAUAUCAUAUGCUCAAAAUGGUUGAGUGAUGAAUGAGAAAUUGAUGCUCAAAGUAAGCUACUUGGAAAUUAUGUUGAGAAAAAAUGAAAAAGCAUUAGUCCCACAUUGAUUAGGAAUCAAGUGUCACUACACCAAAAUAGGCUUUUAGCAGCGUUUUUAGUGGCAUUUGGAUAAAAAACGCUGCUAAAAAUCAAGCAAUAGCAGCGUUUUUUUUAAAACGCUGCUAAAGAUCCAAUAUUAGCGGCGUUUUUCGGAAAACGCCGUAAAAAAUGAGCAUUAGCAGCGUUUUUCAAAAAAGCGCCGCAAAAAAUCUAAGCACAACGAUGUCGUUUUUUGAGUUUUUGGGCCUUUAGCGGCGUUUUUUAAAAAACGCCGCUAAUGUUCGAGGCUUUAGCGGCGUUUUUGAAGAAGCGUCGCUAAUCCUCGGGGCUUUAGCGACGUUUUUGAAGAAGCGCCGCUAAUGCUCUGGUCUUUAGCGGCAUUUUUUAAGAAGCGCCGCUAAUGCUCUAGGCUUGCUCUGGGCUUUAGCGGCGUUUUUGGAAAAACGCCGCUAAUAAUCGAGGCUUUAGCGGCUUUUUUGAAGAAGCGCCGCUAAUGCUCUAUUUUUAGCGGCUUUUUUUAAGAAGCGCCGCUAAUGCUUUGGUCUUUAGCGGCGUUUUUGAAAAAAGCACCGCAAAAAAUAUUUUAUCUCUCUAUUUAUUAUUUAAUUGGUUUGUUUAUAUUAAUUAAAAUUCAAAUUAAUUUUAAUUGAAUAUUCAAAAUCUUCACAAAAAACUAAUGACACGUAGAAAUCAUUUGAAAUAAAAACAUAGAAAAAUAUUUGUUAAAAAUGGAAAAAUUAAAAUACUAUUAUUUAAAAUAAUUUUAAGUUUUUUAGAAACUGUGCAAAGUGUAUGCAAGCAGAUAAUGUUUAUAAUGCUAUUUUGGUCGUUCAAAGAGCUUUUACAGCACCUGCAAAAGCAGCGAUAAAUGAAAUUAAUUCAUACUUCCACAUGGAAGUUUUUGAGGUGAAUAUAAGUUUAAAUUGGUAUAAAUAAAUAUAAUUUUCCUUUUAGCUCUCUGGGUUUUUGUUCUUUUGAUUGUUUUAUAACAGUUUUUUCUUAAAGGAUAAGUGAUAGACGAAAUCCGGGAGUUGAAUCCUAGAGUUGAAAUCCAAGAGUUGAAUCCCUUAUAAAGGUACAUUUUUUUUCCUCAUUGAUAUAUGUUUAUUAGCAUUUGAGUCAUUUAGGUUACUUUUUAUUGUAUUCAUGCAUGCUUGCUUACUUCACAUUUUCCUUCUUCCAGUUUAAAUUUAAUUCUUUCAGUGCUGGAGAUGAUGAUUAUGAAGGGUACAAUUACCGCUUGUGUGGGCGACUUUCUGCUGUUCGAAUUGUUUUUCUUUGUAGGUUUGUUCAGGAGGUAUGAUGGGAUACAGUUUAAACUGUACAGUUUUAGCAUUACCAUCAUCCUAUUAUGGUUAAACCUUAACAUUUAACAAUUGAAGUUCACUUUCACAAAUAGUCAAAAUUUAGGUCUAUAAAUUUCAAGAAACUUGGUUUGGCAGAUAACAGUUUACUUCAUGGAGCUUGCUACCCCACAUACAGAAGAAAUAAUAAAACUUGUUGAUAAAGUUGGCGAUUUUGAGUGGUUAAUUCAGAAAUCUGAAAUUGAUGGGGCUGCUGCUUUGAAGCUGGAUCUUACAUUUGACACUCCAAUAAUUAUAGUUCCUAGGAAUUCAACGAGCACUGAGUAUGUUUAACUUUCCAUUAUCUUAGACUUGCAAAGUAGAACAGAACACUAACUGUUUUAGUCCAUUUUAAUAGAAACUGAACUCUCCAGGAUUUUUGUAUUAUUAUUUAGUGUGAACAUUACUAAUGUAUUUCCAUAUGACAAGUUUUGUUCAACUUGAUGUGGGUCUUCUAAAGGUCAGAAAUAAAAUAAGUUGAGCAUAUUAGGUUUGUCACUUAAAGGGCUCUGCAGAUUGUUUUAGAUUGGCUUGAUUUUUUAUUCACUCAAUAUUUCUCUUUAUCUCUCCAUGUGAUCCUAUUCUAGUAUCAUUUAGUACUUGAGUGAUCUAGAAGAUGUUGAUACAUGUCUUAAGGUAUAAUUUUCUGUCAGUUUACAUUAGAACAAGGUAGGUGCAUUAGACCAAGGUGUAAAUGAAUAUGAUCAAGUGUAUGUGUAUUCAAUAACAAGGACUAUUAGGAAAUCAUGUGUAUUGGCCAAUGAAAGAUUAAAAAAUUUUUGCAUGAUUUUUAGAUAAAAGGGACUAGUUGUUAGUGUUUGCUAUCAUAUCUUAAGCUAAUUUAUAUGUACACGGUCACACAUAAAAACACAAAUUUAUAUAUAUUGCCUCGUCUGUGGCAAGUGCUUUUUCCACACCUUGCCUUUUGAGUAAUAUAAAGGGUUCUAGUGCCUAGAAUACCUUGUGCUCUUGGCAACAUUUGGCUGGCCCUACAUUUCUUAAAUUUUUUUUCUAAUUCAAAUUCAUAUUUACUAUUUUUUGAAGAAAAAUUAAUAAUAAUUUUGUUUUGUCAUUUCUUCUAAUAUUAAUAACUAGCUACUUAUACUAUAUUAGAGAAUCAAAUAUUCACCGAGUCAAUGGAGUAUAUAAUUUAAAUAAAUUAUCCUUGAGAUAGUACCGAACCAGUUUUCCUCUUUGAAAUUGCUUUAACCAGUGAAAUGCUUCGGUAGUUUGCUACCUUUGUGGUGGAAAUUCUUGAUGUCUAUUUUGGACUUUGGAGCUAUAAUUUCAUUUUUCUUAUAUGCAAUUUUAUUUUUAUUAUUUUUCUUUUAUACAGGAUUAGAACCGGUAUACUACAGGAAGAGGAGUGCACAAAAAUCUGAAACGUACAGAGAAAGCUCGCAUUCUAGUUAGCAAAUUGCCAUGUAAGCUUCUAGUAGUAAUCUUACAUCUUGAAGUAGGUUUCUGUGACAUAUUAACUUAAUCUUCUUUGUUAAAUAGAAAACAUGCUUUAUUGCAAUGCAAUAUUUAGUUGAUUUGCUUAUAUGCUGGUUGUUUCUGAACUUGGUUUGGUUUUGUGUAACCGUGGUUUUUGAACUUGCAUUCUAUACUGUCCAAAUAUCUCGGUUCAGGUCAGUUUUCAAUUUUAUUAUUUACUCCCGAGCUUAAGCUCCAGUUUGAAUGAGAUUUUCCAGUAUAGUUAAAAGGUAAAAAGACCUCAAUCAAACUCGUGUGAUACUCUAGUCAAGCAUUAAAGUACUCGAAUUUGAUCUGCUCAAUAGCUCAAACUCGACUCAACACCAUUCAAGUUGUUGUUGUUAAUGGUUUUUAUUUUAAACUUAAGUUGUGUCUGCCAAUAUGCUCUUAAAUCAUGGUCCUUCUAUUUCUUUAGGUUGCUGAGAAGACUGCUCUUCUGCGGCCUAUAGAACUUAAACUUGUUCCUGUGGCCUUGGAAGGUAGUGCAUUUAAAAGCAAGUUUCUUGAUACGGAUGAACUUAUGAGCUACUGUAGCUGGUUUGCGGUAAGAAAUGACUCCUAUUUCUAUUUUAUGGUACCUGGAAUGGUUUAAUACUUCACCGUCUAUAAUAUUUCUAUUGCCCAUGGAUCUUAUGUUGUGGGUGUUAGUACCUUACCAAUCUCAUUAAUGUCUUGUUUUAUUCUUCCUAAAAUUCAAGGAAUCAGUUGUUUAAGUGUUUUCAUUCAGUUUACAUGUUUACCUCUGUUUCUCUGAGUUUCAUAUUUAACUAAUCCAUCUUAAUUGGUGGUAAAUUCAUGUUUUAGGCACUAAUCAAUUUUAACCAAAUUAUCUAACUGUAAUUUGUACUGCUUUCAGACUUUCAGUAGCAUGAUCCCAAAAUGGCUGCGGAAAACCAAAAUUGUCAAGAAAAUUAGCCAAAUACUGGUGAAUCACCUUGGACUAAAUUUGACCAAAGAUGAUCUACAAAAUGUGGUUGAUUUAAUGGAGCCAUAUGGUCAGAUAAGCAAUGGAAUAGAAUAUCUAAAUCCUCCCCUUGAUGUCAGUAACUAACUUGCUUGUCAUUUUAAAUAUGCAAGUCAAUUGCUAUUAAUAAUUUUCUGUUGGAUUCUUGGACUGAAAAAUAAUUGAAUUGCAAGGUCAUACAUGCUGUUAAUUUUUUAAGAGCUAAUAAAUGAGUAUGACAUAGUGCUCAUAAAUGUUCUAAGGAUGUCUUGAGAUGAAUGGAAUUGUCUGAUAGUUUGAGGUUAUAAAUCUUUGUAUUGAUUUUUCUCAACAAUCUGAAGCCUGUCAUACUUAGCAAAUAUUUCUGUGAGAAUGGGUGUUUAAGAACUGUGAAUUGUCUUGAAAUAUAUGCGGUUGAGAUGGUUGAUAUAUUAUCAAGCAUGCAAUAUAUAUCACUGUCGUGACAAGUUUUUAUAGGAUUUAUUUGAAAUGGGUACGAAUUUAUCUCCCUGUUACAUGGAAAUAUAUAUUUAGCUUUAAAGUUAAAAUUUUAAUAGAAAUUUUAAUUUAAUUAAAUAUUUUUUAUCCUUAAAAGUAUAUAGUUUAAAGUUUAAAUUUUAAAAACAAAACAUAAUAUAAUAUUUAUUAUACAAAUAAAUAUUAUUUAAAUAAAAUAUAUUUUUUUAAAUUUAUGUUUUUAGCGGCGUUUGUUAAAAAGCGCCGCUAAAAGUCAUCUUAUUGUGGUUUGUUGUAGAAACGCCUUUAGUGGCGUUUUUAGGAAAAGCGUCGCUAAAGGUCAUGGCCUAUAGCGGCGUUUGUGGGAAAAGCGCCGCUAAAGGUCAUGGUCUAUAGCGGCGUUUGUGGGAAAAGCGCCGCUAAAGGUCAUGGUCUAUAGCGGCGUUUGUGGGAAAAGCGCCGCUAAAGGUCUUGGUCUUUAGCGGCGUUUUUGGGAAAGCGCCGUUAAAGGCCAUGGUCUUUAGCGGAGUUUGUGGAAAAAGCGCCGCUAAAGGUCAUGGUCUUUAGUGGCGUUUAUUUCUAAAAACGCCGCUAAAGUUAGCGGCGCUGUCAUUAGCGGCAUUUUUUUCGGUGCUUCUCAAAGCACCGCAAAUACUCUUAGCGGCGCUAAAAAGCGCCGCUAAAAGUCUAUUUUGGUGUAGUGUGUGGAACUUUUAUAUAUAUGUAAACCAACUUAGUGGUUAUUGAAUGAGUAAACUAAUGCUCUCCCUCGCAUGCAGAGGGUGCAAAUUCAAACCCAUCGGGGUUGGGGAACACCCGCACGACGUGGGUAACGCGAAAUGUCCGGAUCGAUCGGGCCCUUUUAGGCCUGCGAAUAUUUUAGCCCAAUACGUAUUUAUUUUUUUUCUGAGCAUAUAUUAUACAGAAUAUGUUUUAAAAGAACAAAUAUCUCAUUUUGAUUUGAUUCCAAUCAAAUUUGAUUUUAUUUUAUUCAAAUUGAUUUAAAGGCUCCCUUAAUGCAGAUUUGUAUCUUUAUUCAUGAAAAUUUCUAAAAUUCCUCCACAUUGAAUGUCUAUAAAAGCCUAAAGAAUAUUGCAGAAUUCUUUAGAGACGCACAACGAAUUUAUUUCACUCUCGAAAAUUCUAUUCAUUUUCUCUCCAAAUUUUUCAAAUGUUUGGUGAUAGAAGGAAAGGUUUAUUUAUUGAUCACUGCAGAAGAACUACUCCCAUGAUCAUUUUGUUGUUGUUUCUUGGGAGACAGACGAUCAACGUUUCUCCAAGUACCAUAGGAGCUGUCGAAUCUAUCUUACGGAAACAGUGAAAACAGGCCUCAACAUCUAGUAAAACUCGAUUCCCUUAUUCGAUUUCUAAUUUUUCAAGAUCUUGUUUAUUUAAUUAUUUUUCAGAUAUGAUGUUUUAAAUAAAUAUUUUGGUUUUGUUUAGAUCCGGUGUUUUUACAUAAAUAUAAAUAUUUGUUUAUAUUAUUUGUUCAAGAUCUUGUAUUUAAUAUAAAUAUUUAUAUUUAUAUUUGUUCACUAAGGUGUUUUGUCCAAACUAUAGCUUCUCAAUAAUUGUCAAAUAUUAUAGUGAUAUGCUUUUUCUUUCAAUUAUUCAUAUCUUCAAGAUUAAAAGGUUUACUUUAGUAUUAUUCUAUUUAUUGAGUGUGUAUUAAUGUUUUGUACAGGAAUCCGUUGGAUUUUGGUCUUGUAUAAAUUAGUUGUGGUUGUGGGUAAAUAAAUGUGUGUCGUUCUUCAUUCUCCAAACAUGCUGAAUAUAAUUAUUGGCAUUUCAAGUGUGGCAUAAUAUAAAACAAUGGUUGGCUUCAUCAUAAUCUGUUUGGAGACUAACGGGCCACACUUUGACCUCCAAAUUUAGAAAAUAUUUCCAGAGUUGGAAAUUGUAAUUGUAAUACCGUAAUAUUUGUACACCGCACUACACCAAAACAGGUUUUUAGCGGCGCUUUUUUAGGCCUUUAGGGGCGCUUUUUAGUGCCGCUAAAAGUAUUUGCGGCGCUUUGAGAAGCGCCAGAAAAAACGUCGCUAGUGACAGAGUCGCUAACUUUAGCGGCGUUUUUAGAAAUAAACGCCGCUAAAGACCAUGAUCUUUAGCGGCGCUUUUUCCACAAACGCCGCUAAAGACCAUGACCUUUAGCGGCGCUUUCCCAAAAAUGCCGCUAAAAACCAGAACCUUUAGCGGCACUUUUUCCACAAACGCCGCUAAAGACCAAAACCUUAGCGGCGCUUUUCUCACAAACGCCGCUAUAGAUCAUGACCUUUAGCGGCGCUUUUCCCAUAAACGCCGCUAUAAGCCAUGACCUUUAGCGACUCUUUUCCCAAAAACUCCACUAAAGGCGUUUCUACAAUAAACCACAAUAAAGAUGACUUUUAGCGGCGCUUUUUAACAAACGCCACUAAAAACAUAAAUUUUAUAAAAUAUAUUUUAAUUAAAUAAUAUUUAUUUGUAUAAUAAAUAUUAUAUUAUGUUUUGUUUUUAAAAUUUAAACUUUAAACUAUAUACUUUUAAGGAUAAAAAAUAUUUAAUUAAAUUAAAAUUUCUAUUAAAAUUUUAACUUUAACGCUAAAUAUAUAUUUCCAUGUAACAGGGAUAUAAAUUCGUACCCAUUUCAAAUAAAUCCUAUAAAAACUUGUCACGACAGUGAUAUAUAUUGCAUGCUUGAUAAAAUAUCAACCAUCUCAACCGCAUAUAUUUCAAGACAAUUCACAGUUCUUAAACACCCAUUCUCACAGAAAUAUUUGCUAAGUAUGACAGGCUUCAGAUUGUUGAGAAAAAUCAAUACAAAGAUUUAUAACCUCAAACUAUCAGACAAUUCCAUUCAUCUAAAGACAUCUUUAGAACAUUUAUGAGCACUAUGUCAUACUCAUUUAUUAGCUCUUAAAAAAUUAACAGCGUGUAUGACCUUGCAAUUCAAUUAUUUUUCAGUCCAAGAAUCCAACAGAAAAUUAUUAAUAGCAAUUGACUUGCAUAUUUAAAAUGACAAGCAAGUUAGUUACUGACAUCAAGAGGAGGAUUUAGAUAUUCUAUUCCAUUGCUCUUAUCUGACCAUAUGGCUCCAAUAAAUCGACCACAUUUUGUAGAUCAUCUUUGGUCAAAUUUAGUCCAAGGUGAUUCACCAGUAUUUGGCUAAUUUUCUUGACAAUUUUGGUUUUCCGCAGCCAUUUUGGGAUCAUGCUGCUGAAAGUCUGCAAGCAGUACAAAUUACAGUUAGAUAAUUUGGUUAAAAUUGAUUAGUGCCUAAAACAUGAAUUUACCACCAAUUAAGAUGGAUUAGUUAAAUAUGAAACUCAGAGAAACAGAGGUAAACAUGUAAACUGAAUGAAAAACACUUAAACAACUGAUUCUUUGAAUUUCAGGAAGAAUAAAACAAGACAUUAAUGAGAUUGGUAAGGUACUAACACCCACAACAUAAGAUCCAUGGGCAAUAGAAAUAUUAUAGACGGUGAAGUAUUAAACCAUUCCAGGUACCAUAAAAUAGAAAUAGGAGUCAUUUCUUACCGCAAACCAGCUACAGUAACUCAUAAGUUCAUCCGUAUCAAGAAACUUGCUUCUAAAUGCACUACCUUCCAAGGCCACAAGAACAAGUUUAAGUUCUAUACGCCGCAGAAGAGCAGUCUUUUCAGCAACCUAAAGAAAUAGAAGGACCAUGAUUUAAGAGCAUAUUGGCAGACACAACUUAAGUUUAAAAUAAAAACCAUUAACAACAACAUAAAUUUCGCAAGCAAAUACAUGCAGACAGGAACAAUAAAACCAAAUAUAUGUAGGCAGUAAAAGCCAAAAUACACAGCGGCAGUCAACAAUUGUCUGCAUCAUAUGCCCCCAGGUCUCCAGUUUCUUAUCCAGAUAUGCAAUCAAUAGAGUUGAUAAGUAUCACCAUUAUUUCAUACUUGGCAAUAAUUCAGUUAUUAUUUGUGGAUCCUUUUCAGAAAUUCUCAAAUUAGACUUGUAUGGUGUUGAGUCGAGUUUGAGCUAUUGAGCAGAUCAAAUUCGAGUACUUUAAUGCUUGAUUAGAGUAUCACACGAGUUUGAUUGAGGUCUUUUGACCUUUUAACUAUACUGGAAAAUCUCAUUUCAAACUGGAGCUUAAGCUCGGGAAUAAAUAAUAAAAUUGAAAACCGACCUGAAACGAGAUAUUUGGACAAUAUAGAAUGCAAGUUCAAAAACCACGGUUACACAAAACCAAACCAAGUUCAGAAACAACCAGCAUAUAAGCAAAUCAACUAAAUCUUGCAUUGCAAUAAAGCAUGUUUUCUAUUUAACAAAGAAGAUUAAGUUACUAUGUCACAGAAACCUACUUCAAGAUGUAAGAUUACUAAUAGAAGCUUACAUGGCAAUUUCCUAACUAGAAUGCGAGCUUUCUCUAUACGUUUCAGAUUUUUGUGCACUCCUCUUCCUGCACUAUACCGGUUCUAAUCCUUUAUAAAAGAAAAAUAAGAAAAAUAAAAUUGCAUAUAAGAAAAAUGAAAUUAUAGCUCCAAAGUCCAAAAUAGACAUCAAUAAUUACCACCACAAAGAUAGCAAACUACCGAAGCAUUUCACUGGUUAAAGCAAUUUCAAAGAGGAAAACUGGUUCGGUACUAUCUCAAGGAUAAUUUAUUUAAAUUAUAUACUCCAUUGACUUGGUGAAUAUUUGAUUCUCUAAUAUAGUAUAAGUAGCUAGUUAUUAAUAUUAGAAGAAAUGACAAAACAAAAUUAUUAUUAAUUUUUCUUCAAAAAAUAGUAAAUAUGAAUUUGAAUUAGAAAAAAAUUUAAGAAAUAUAGGGCCAGCCAAAUGUUGCUAAGAGCACAAGGUAUUCUAGGCACUAGAACCCUUUAUAUUACUCAAAAGGCAAGGUGUGGAAAAAGCACUUGCCACAGACGAGGCAAUAUAUAUAAAUUUGUGUUUUUAUGUGUGACCGUGUACAUAUAAAUUAGAUUAAGAUAUGAUAGCAAACAUUAACAACUGGUCCCUUUUAUCUAAAAAUCAUGCAAAAAAUUUUUAAUCUUUCAUUGGCCAAUACACAUGAUUUCCUAAUAGUCCUUGUUAUUGAAUACACAUACACUUGAUCAUAUUCAUUUACACCUUGGUCUAAUGCACCUACCUUGGUCUAAUGUAAACUGAAAGAAAAUUAUACCUUAAGACAUGUAUCAACAUCUUUUAGAUCACUCAAGUUCUCAGAUUCAAUGUAUUCCGUGACAAAACCAAAUUAUAGUCCUCACUAGAAAUAUGCAAAUUUGGGCUAGCUGCCCCAUGAUGCACGUACUGCUUUUGAACACAAAGAGAGCUGCUUCACCAAAAACUGCAGUUGCUUCUUCAGCAGCACCUAAAAUAAUCGAACACAAAAGAACAUAACUUAAAUAUCAAUGAACAUAUGAGACCAAGUACUAAAUGAUACUAGAACAAGAUCACAUGGAGAGAUAAAGAGAAAUAUUGAGUGAAUAAAAAAUCAAGCCAAUCUAAAACAAUCUGCAGAGCCCUUUAAGUGACAAACCUAAUAUGCUCAACUUAUUUUAUUUCUGACCUUUAGAAGACCCACAUCAAGUUGAACAAAACUUGUCAUAUGGAAAUACAUUAGUAAUGUUCACACUAAAUAAUAAUACAAAAAUCCUGGAGAGUUCAAUUUCUAUUAAAAGGGACUAAAACAGUUAGUGUUCUGUUCUACUUUGCAAGUCUAAGAUAAUGGAGAGUUAAACAUACUCAGUGCUCCUUGAAUUCCUAGGAACUAUAAUUAUUGGAGUGUCAAAUGUAAGAUCCAGCUUCAAAGCAGCAGCCCCAUCAAUUUCAGAUUUCUGAAUUAACCACUCAAAAUCGCCAACUUUAUCAACAAGUUUUAUUACUUCUUCUGUAUGUGGGGUAGCAAGCUCCAUGAAGUAAACUGUUAUCUGCCAAACCAAGUUUCUUGAAAUUUAUAGACCUAAAUUUUGACUAUUUGUGAAAGUGAACUUCAAUUGUUAAAUGUUAAGGUUUAACCAUAAUAGGAUGAUGGUAAUGCUAAAACUGCACAGUUUAAACUGUAUCCCAUCAUACCUCCUGGACAAACCUACAAAGAAAAACAAUUCGAACAGCAGAAAGUCGCCCACACAAGCGGUAGUUGUACCCUUCAUAAUCAUCAUCUCCAGCACUGAAAGAAUUAAAUUUAAACUGGAAGAAGGAAAAUGUGAAGUAAGCAAGCAUGCAUGAAUACAAUAAAAAGUAACCUAAAUGACUCAAAUGCUAAUAAACAUAUAUCAAUGAGGAAAAAAAUGUACCUUUAUAAGGGAUUCAACCCUUGGAUUUCAACUCUAGGAUUCAACUCCCGGAUUUCGUCUAUCACUUAUCCUUUAAGAAAAAACUGUUAUAAAACAAUCAAAAGAACAAAAACCCAGAGAGCUAAAAGGAAAAUUAUAUUUAUUUAUACCGAUUUAAUCUUAUAGACUACAAUAUUUUGAUUUGCAUACAGAUAAGCAUCCAUAGUGCAGUUCAGAUUCAACUAAAUUGAACAAAGUUUAAGAAAUUUCAGACCCUAAAAAGUGAAAGUAAGAAGGAAAAAAUAUAGAUGAGUACUUGAAACGAUUCUUCUUUGUUUUUUUAGUCGACAUCAGAGUCAUCAAAAUCGUCUUUGAAGUUGUUGAAGAAAUCGGCAUCGGCGAGCUUGUUGUCGGAAGUGAUGACUCCUUCGUCGAAGAUCUCCGGUGUGUCAACAUCAUCGGCUUCCAUGGCUGAAUCUUUCGGGAAAUCUUUUGGGAAAAUUUGGAUUUUCCUGAAAAAUACACCGACCGGAUAAACGAGAGAAAAACAAAGAUGGUGGUUGAGAAGAAGAGGAGCUUAACGAUGAUGAUGAAGACGUGGUGGCGGAGAGAAACACCUAAAGGGUGUUUUUAGGAUACCAAUUUUAGGGGGGGAAAUUAGGGGUUUUAGGGGGGAAAUUAGGGAAAAAAAGGCGCAAUUUUGAAUAAAAUGAUACCGUUUUGUUCUGCUAAAAAUUUCUACUAUUUUUGUAUUUAUCAAUUUUUUAAAAUCUAAUAUUUAAAUAUAUUAAAUAUUUUAGAUUAAAUAUUUUUAAAUAUAAAAGCAUUAAUUAAUUAUAUAAAAUUUCAUCAUUUAACAAAUAUCAAGUAAACCUUAAAUCCUAAACCAUUUAAUAUAUAUAAAGUUUACUUAUUACCUCUUAAAUAAUUUAAACUAUAAUCAUAAUUUUAAUAUAUUAAAAUUAAAAUGAUCUCUUUUACAAUUAUAUAAGAAAUUAUUUAAUAUAUAAAUUAAAAACACUAAUUAAUCUAAACCCUAAACUCUUAACCUUUAUCCCCUAAACCUUAAAUUAUAAAACAUAAACCCUUAAACCCCUAACCCCUAAAUCCUAAACCCCUAAACCUUAAACCUCAACCCUUAAACCAUAAAUCAUAAACAAUAAUCCCUAAACCCAUAAUCCCUAAACUAUAAUGAUAAUUAAUUCAACAUUUUAAAAUUAAUACUAACUCUUUUACUAUUAUAUAAGAAAUUAUUUAAUAUAUAAAUAUCAAACACGUCAUAGACACUUAAAACUUUGAGAUAGUUAUAGUACUAUUUUUUAUUUCACUUAUAGGAACCUCAUAUACUCAAGCACUGCAAGUCUUUUGUGAAUUAACCAAUGCUUAUGAAGAUCUACUACUUACGGUUAUCAAUGCCAGCUGGAAUCACAAAUAUUAACAAGAAUCAGACAUAGAUAGCAAAAUUAAUCAAGCACUUUCAAGGGACAUCAUUCUAGCAGUUCUUUAAAGAAAUGGAUUUCAAUCCAGAAUUCAGUAGUUCUGUAACUAGCCUAGCAGAUAGAUGGAAAAAUAAUAUUUAUUUUAGAGAUCAGUCUACCUCUUAAGUGGAAUAACUUUCUGUAAGCUUUAACCUUGUGAACUUUUUUAUUAAUAUAUUUCUUCUAAUACUUCUUAGAGAUAAUCACAGACAAGAGAUUCAACCAUUAAGAUUCAAUGGAUGGUUAAUAUAAGACCAAACAAAGACAAUGCAUCUAAUUUAAUAAGUUAAGCCAUGCUCACGAACAAAGCAAAGAAGAAUUAUAUUCACCUCAAAAACUUCCAUGUGGAAGUAUGAAUUAAUUUCAUUUAUCGCUGCUUUUGCAGGUGCUGUAAAAGCUCUUUGAACGACCAAAAUAGCAUUAUAAACAUUAUCUGCUUGCAUACACUUUGCACAGUUUCUUACCAUAGGAACACCAACCUUUACUUCCGCAGGAAAGAAAACAUAAAUCUAGAGACAAAAAUACCAUCAGUACAUCAACAUUGAAGUUAUAAAAUUAUUUGUAACAAAAAAGUAAAGAAAAAGGAGUUGCUCUUAUUUCUAAUAUUAGAGUUAAAAACAAUGACCCGUUCUAGCUAUGCAAUCUUUUACAACAAGAAAGUGCAAACUCAUGCAGACAGUUUAAAGAACUCUAAACAUUUCAAAAAUUUCAAAUAUGGGCUUCUGAUUUAUAAACUGAUGAUUCUGAAAUAACUACACAGCUUGCUAAUUUGAUAUGCUUAUUACCUUGUAUAAGAAAUUAUUUAAUAUGUAAGUUAAAAAAAACUCAGUAAUGUACCCAAAAAACUUAAAAUUAUUUUAAAUAAUAUUAUUUUAAUUUUUCUAUUUUUAACAAAUAUUUUUCUAUGUUUUUAUUUCAAAUUAUUUCUACGUGUCAUUAGUUUUUUGUGAAGAUUUUGAAUAUUCAAUUAAAAAUAAUUUGAAUUUUAAUUAAUAUAAACAAACCAAUUAAAUAAUAAAUAGAGAGAUAAAAUAUUUUAAAGACCAAAGCAUUAGCGGCGCUUCUUCAAAAACGCCACUAAAGACCAGAGCAUUAGCGGCGCUUUUCCAAAAACGCCGCUAAAGCCCAGAGCAAGCCUAGAGCAUUAGCGGCGCUUCUUCAAAAACGCCGCUAAAGCCCAAAGCAUUAGCGGCGCUUUUCCAAAAACGCCGCUAAAUCCCAGAGCAAGCCUAGAGCAUUAGCGGCGCUUCUUCAAAAACGCCGCUAAAGCCCAGAUCAUUAGCGGCGCUUCUUAAAAAACGCCGCUAAAGGUCCAAAAACUCAAAAAACGACAUUUUUAGCGGCGCUUAUUGGAAAACGCCGCUAAUGCUCAUUUUUAGCGGCGUUUUCCAAAAAACGCCGCUAAUGUUGGAUCUUUAGCGGCGUUUUAGAAAAAACGCUGCUAUUGCUUGAUUUUUAGCAGCGUUUUUUAUCCGAACGCCACUAAAAACGCCGCUAAAAGCCUAUUUUGGUAUAGUGCCGCAGUGAACAUGGACAAUCAUGUCAUGAUGCAGAACCAGAAAAUGGUGCCAACUCUCCUUCUUCUCCCCCUCUUUCUUCCAAAACUAUAUCCUCGAAUCCUCAAAAAUGGUGACAUCAAACUUCCUUUUGUUUAUAAAAGGUUCACCCCUCACAUUACAGGGUCCUGUUCGUAUCUCAAGGCAAUCAAACAUGGAAUCCAUAUAUAUGAUUCUUCCCCAAUCCUUGUUGUAGAUUCUUUGGGGAUACAAGCCUUUUUGUUUGUAUUUAAAUACAAAAAAGGGAAAAUGAAAAGCGCCAUCUACAACUGCAUGCUAAUGAUUGCCAAAAUCACUGUUUGUUUUGUCGGAAGGCUUUCAAUCUUGCGGGGUCUUGAAGAGCCUGUUUCAGUAACUUGCCAUUAAUUCUCUCAUACAUUCCAAUCCUAAAAAAUGCUUCCAUCUUUUAGCUGCAACAGUUUAUAAUCAUCAGAAAGGUCUAGUCAGAAUAAUAUUACCUUCUCCUUUUUAACAGUUUUUUUUUUUUAAAUCAUGCCACUACAACUGUAGCUGCGCUCAUGUCAACAAUUAAUUCCUAUAAUCGACAUCAAAAUUAUAUGAAAGAAUUAACAUUUGGAUACCGAGUUACCAUAUUUGAAGAUAAGGCGAAAGGUAAAAACACAAAAGGCAAGCAUGACCAAGCAAACAAGGUAUGGACAUUGAUUUUUUUGAAUCGGGAAUGGCCAAAUGGGACCGUGAAGAGGUGACAAAGGAGAAAUCAGGCAUUCACGGUUUCCAUUGGAUGAAAUGAGAUAAGAUCACUGUGCUUCUUCCACGUGGCAGGUUGCCAAAGAUAAGGCUUUACCAUUCAAGAAAAGUUUCCACCCUCUUUGUGGUCAUUAUGGUUGUAAUGUCAUCUGAUUUAGGAUCCAACGGUCACCCUUUCUCCUAAACCAAUCUCUAAAUGUGGUGAGCUUAGGCCAAAUUUAAUGACUAUAUAUAGGGGAUUGCACCAAGGCAGUCACACUAUUAAGGGAUCAGUGAGACUCUUUUGUAUACCUGUAGCAUAUAGUAAUAGUAAGCAGUAAUAGCAAUGGCCUCCUCCAUGAUCUCAUCGGCAACCAUUGCCACCGUGAACCGCUCCUCCCCGGCACAGGCCAACAUGGUGGCCCCCUUCACGGGCCUCAAAUCUGCCUCUGCUUUCCCAGUCACCAGGAAGGCCAACAACGACAUCACUUCUCUUGCAAGCAACGGUGGGAGAGUGCAAUGCAUGCAGGUACUUGGUGAUGCAUAAAUACCACUUAAAUUACCCCAAGUGUUUGAACACAACAAAUUACAUAAAUUGAAUCAAAUAUAUAUCUUGGCUUUUGAGUACAGGUGUGGCCGCCUCUUGGGAAGAAGAAGUUCGAGACUCUCUCAUACCUGCCCGAUCUUACUCCCGUACAGUUGGCUAAGGAAGUAGAUUACCUUCUUCGCUCUAAAUGGAUUCCUUGCUUGGAAUUCGAAUUAGAGGUGUUUUGGAGCUCUAAAUUAUUCCAUUCCUCCUCUUAAUUUUUUUAGUGGGAUAUUUGAGUUGAUUAAGUGUGUUUUAUAUGUAUGUGCAGGAGGGAUUCGUGCAUCGUAAGUACUCGAACUUACCCACGUACUACGAUGGACGCUACUGGACCAUGUGGAAGCUGCCCAUGUUCGGGUGCACCGACUCGGCUCAGGUGUUGAAGGAGCUUGAGGAAUGCAAGAAGGAAUACCCCAAUGCAUUCAUUAGAAUCAUUGGGUUCGACAACGUUCGUCAAGUGCAGUGCAUUAGUUUCAUUGCCUACAAGCCUGAAGGCUACUAAGUUGUUUACUUCCCUCCUAGGAAUUCCAUUUGUUUCAAAGUUGUACUUAAAUUAAGCCCCUCAAACCCCCCCCCCCUUUUUCUUUUUCUUUUUUAGUUGAGUUAUUUGGCUUGGGGUCUUUCUCUUUGUUUUGUUUUUGGAUUUCCAAUGGAACGGCUGAGAACUAAUGAAUAAAAAGGUAGUUU